UCUCAAGAUGAAAGCGGGUUGGGACCUCACUUUGGUGAGGGCUCCAGCUCGUCUGAAUUAUUCACCAUGUCUUUUGGCACUUCUUGUUUCAGGGCGGGUUCGCCGCCCCAGGACAAACAUAAACUUUUUGUAAUUGCAAUCAGCGUCAGUAAACAAUGUUAAUUUAUUACAACUUUUCACAACNGAUCUCUAGGUUCUGGCAUGAUGAAGAACGCAUNAANUGCUAUACNUAGCUGUGAAUUGCAGAANUCAGUGAAGUCAUCGAAUCUUUGAAAGUCAUUGGUCUUUUGGUAUUCAAGGGCAUGCUGUUUCAGGUCAUUUGUACUCAGCUUUGCUGGUGUGGGGCGUCUUGUCUCUCGAGNNUGCAUUUAAAAUGAUAGGCAGCNCUACUGG
rnacentral:rRNA from 1 species